rnacentral:rRNA from 1 species
UACGUAGGGGGCAAGCGUUAUCCGGAAUCACUGGGCGUAAAGGGUGCGUAGGCGGCCCGUCAAGUCAGAGGUGAAAGGCAGUGGCUUAACCACUGUAAGCCUUUGAAACUGAUGGGCUUGAGUGCAGGAGAGGUAAGUGGAAUUCCUAGUGUAGCGGUGAAAUGCGUAGAUAUUAGGAGGAACACCAGUGGCGAAGGCGACUUACUGGACUGUAACUGACGCUGAGGCACGAAAGCGUGGGGAGC